rnacentral:rRNA from 1 species
AGUGGCAGACGGGUGAGUAACGCGUGGGAACGUACCUUUUGGUUCGGAACAACUGAGGGAAACUUCAGCUAAUACCGGAUAAGCCCUUACGGGGAAAGAUUUAUCGCCGAAAGAUCGGCCCGCGUCUGAUUAGCUAGUUGGUGAGGUAAUGGCUCACCAAGGCGACGAUCAGUAGCUGGUCUGAGAGGAUGAUCAGCCACAUUGGGACUGAGACACGGCCCAAACUCAUACGGGAGGCAGCAGUGGGGAAUAUUGGACAAUGGGGGCAACCCUGAUCCAGCCAUGCCGCGUGAGUGAUGAAGGCCCUAGGGUUGUAAAGCUCUUUUGUGCGGGAAGAUAAUGACGGUACCGCAAGAAUAAGCCCCGGCUAACUUCGUGCCAGCAGCCGCGGUAAUACGAAGGGGGCUAGCGUUGCUCGGAAUCACUGGGCGUAAAGGGUGCGUAGGCGGGUUUCUAAGUCAGAGGUGAAAGCCUGGAGCUCAACUCCAGAACUGCCUUUGAUACUGGAAGUCUUGAGUAUGGCAGAGGUGAGUGGAACUGCGAGUGUAGAGGUGAAAUUCGUAGAUAUUCGCAAGAACACCAGUGGCGAAGGCGGCUCACUGGGCCAUUACUGACGCUGAGGCACGAAAGCGUGGGGAGCAAACAGGAUUAGAUACCCUGGUAGUCCACGCCGUAAAC